rnacentral:rRNA from 1 species
UGUUUCGACACACUAUCAUUAACUGAAUCCAUAGGUUAAUGAGGCGAACCGGGGGAACUGAAACAUCUAAGUACCCCGAGGAAAAGAAAUCAACCGAGAUUCCCCCAGUAGCGGCGAGCGAACGGGGAGCAGCCCAGAGCCUGAAUCAGUAUGUGUGUUAGUGGAAGCGUCUGGAAAGGCGCGCGAUACAGGGUGACAGCCCCGUACACAAAAAUGCACAUGCUGUGAGCUCGAUGAGUAGGGCGGGACACGUGGUAUCCUGUCUGAAUAUGGGGGGACCAUCCUCCAAGGCUAAAUACUCCUGACUGACCGAUAGUGAACCAGUACCGUGAGGGAAAGGCGAAAAGAACCCCGGCGAGGGGAGUGAAAAAGAACCUGAAACCGUGUACGUACAAGCAGUGGGAGCACGCUUAGGCGUGUGACUGCGUACCUUUUGUAUAAUGGGUCAGCGACUUAUAUUCUGUAGCAAGGUUAACCGAAUAGGGGAGCCGAAGGGAAACCGAGUCUUAACUGGGCGUUAAGUUGCAGGGUAUAGACCCGAAACCCGGUGAUCUAGCCAUGGGCAGGUUGAAGGUUGGGUAACACUAACUGGAGGACCGAACCGACUAAUGUUGAAAAAUUAGCGGAUGACUUGUGGCUGGGGGUGAAAGGCCAAUCAAACCGGGAGAUAGCUGGUUCUCCCCGAAAGCUAUUUAGGUAGCGCCUCGUGAAUUCAUCUCCGGGGGUAGAGCACUGUUUCGGCAAGGGGGUCAUCCCGACUUACCAACCCGAUGCAAACUGCGAAUACCGGAGAAUGUUAUCACGGGAGACACACGGCGGGUGCUAACGUCCGUCGUGAAGAGGGAAACAACCCAGACCGCCAGCUAAGGUCCCAAAGUCAUGGUUAAGUGGGAAACGAUGUGGGAAGGCCCAGACAGCCAGGAUGUUGGCUUAGAAGCAGCCAUCAUUUAAAGAAAGCGUAAUAGCUCACUGGUCGAGUCGGCCUGCGCGGAAGAUGUAACGGGGCUAAACCAUGCACCGAAGCUGCGGCAGCGACGCUGAUGCGUUGUUGGGUAGGGGAGCGUUCUGUAAGCCUGCGAAGGUGUGCUGUGAGGCAUGCUGGAGGUAUCAGAAGUGCGAAUGCUGACAUAAGUAACGAUAAAGCGGGUGAAAAGCCCGCUCGCCGGAAGACCAAGGGUUCCUGUCCAACGUUAAUCGGGGCAGGGUGAGUCGACCCCUAAGGCGAGGCCGAAAGGCGUAGUCGAUGGGAAACAGGUUAAUAUUCCUGUACUUGGUGUUACUGCGAAGGGGGGACGGAGAAGGCUAUGUUGGCCGGGCGACGGUUGUCCCGGUUUAAGCGUGUAGGCUGGUUUUCCAGGCAAAUCCGGAAAAUCAAGGCUGAGGCGUGAUGACGAGGCACUGCGGUGCUGAAGCAACAAAUGCCCUGCUUCCAGGAAAAGCCUCUAAGCAUCAGGUAACAUCAAAUCGUACCCCAAACCGACACAGGUGGUCAGGUAGAGAAUACCAAGGCGCUUGAGAGAACUCGGGUGAAGGAACUAGGCAAAAUGGUGCCGUAACUUCGGGAGAAGGCACGCUGAUAUGUAGGUGAAGUCCCUCGCGGAUGGAGCUGAAAUCAGUCGAAGAUACCAGCUGGCUGCAACUGUUUAUUAAAAACACAGCACUGUGCAAACACGAAAGUGGACGUAUACGGUGUGACGCCUGCCCGGUGCCGGAAGGUUAAUUGAUGGGGU